GGGCCAAGACUUUUCACAAAUUAAGCUAGAAGUUUCUCUACUUAUCCCAUAAAGACUAGUCAAUUAAGCACAAGAGUUCACUCUUUUCCUUCUACUUUCUCAUACUCCCAAAUCAAACUUUACAACACUCACCCCCAUCCUAUGGCUAGACAAUAAUGUGCCCAAUCUAGCAAGAAUGAAGAUCAAGCAUUGUCGUUCCCG
rnacentral:lncRNA from 1 species